rnacentral:lncRNA from 1 species
GUGGUUCUUCGCUAUAAGGUGAACUUCCACAAUUGUGCAGAUGAAAGUGAAGCAUCGAGGAUCUGCACUGGGAAUUGUGGGAAUCAGAGCAUAAUCAAACACGAGGUAGACAGGGAGGACAGCGUAGCCCAGUUGGGCAACGGAGAGUGGUGUCAGACAGAGGGAAUCCUGACUGUACAGGUUCUCAGCAACGCUCCGCUUGAGCUGGAAUUAAAUGGUGGUGCCUGGAUAGCUAACAUUAAUGGCAUCGGAAAUUGGAGUGCUGUGACUCAGGUGGAGCUGAGGAACCGGUCGGACACCGGCAAAGCCAACACAUCACCCCAAACCACCAUACUGCCCGCUGUGAGGUAAACUGCAAAUCAGUUAUACUUUAUUAUAUUAUAUUUUGUAUUAAUCAGAAUCUGCAAAGUAACUAGUAACUGAAGUUCUGAAAUUGAUGUAGUGGAGUAAAAAGUGAAAUAUUUGCAUCCAAAAGAGAAACAGAAGUAUAAAUUAGCAUAAAAUGGAAAAUUGCAUAUACCUUAACAGUGUACUUCAGUGCAGCAGGUGAGUAAAUGUACUUUCACCACUGAUAUUAUGAAUCUUUUCAUAUUCAGAAAUUUUGAAUUUCUCUUUAUUUCAGAGUUCCUUCAAACUGUCAGAGAGAUUUCAACCUGCUGGCGUUUGACCCUGACGGAGACGAGGUUAAAUGCAGAUAUGGAAACGCAUCGCUGUCAGAGUGUGACAUCUGCACGCCAGCGUCUGUUCUCAGCCUCUCAUCAUCUUGUACUCUGUCAUUCAGCCCCACCAGUAGCAGUAAUGAAGGUGCAUACGUCGUACAACUGGUGAUGGAGGACUUUCCCAGGCAGGAUAUCAUCCUGACUCAGACCAACGGUUCGCAGGUGGCGAGAAGUACAAACGACUCUAUCAGCAAAAUACCUGUCCAAUUUGCUUUAAGGGUGGAUCCUGUGGUGCCAUCCUGCACUGAGGGACUUUAUCUGCCCAAGUUUCUGCCUCCAACUCCAGCCAACAGAGCUCGGCUGUACACUCCUGCCAAUCAGACCCUGGAAAUCAGCAUCAAGGCAGAAGCAAAUAUCUCCACAAUUACUGAGCUGCUGUUCAGCGGGCCGCACAACACAAACCAGACAAAUUCAGGAGUAGGACAGUACAUCCUGAGAUGGACGCCGUCUGAAAACGAAGAUGGAGAAAGCCACCCCAUCUGCUUUGUCAUCCAGGCAGUUUUCAAUUCAACCAAGUAUCACUCGGAGCUACGAUGUGUGAUUGUGAGUGUUGGAAACGCCCCAACAACAACUACAACCAUUGAUCCAACAACAACACGGAUAACUACAACAACCACCAUUCCCUCUAUAACUACCCCACUACCUCCAACCACUAUUCCAUCCACAACAACUACCCCACUAACUACUACACCAACUACCACCACACAAACCACCAUUACCUCUACAACUACACCACUACCUACAACACCUACUCCAUUCACAACUACUACCCCACCAACUACACCUACUACACCCAAUACCACCAUACAAACAAACAUUACCUCUACAAGUCCCCCACUACCUCCAACCACUACUCCAUCCACAACUACUACCCCACUAACUACUACACCAACUACCACCAUACAAACCACAGUUUCCUCAACAACUACACCACUACCUACAACAACUACUCCAUUCACAACUACUACCCCACUAAGUACAACACCUGUAACUGAAGACCCAAACCAAAUUGUUGCAGCUGUGAAAGUAAGGAUUUCCACUACGGUUACCCUGUCUGAGGACGACUUCAGGUAUAUUUUCAUACCACAGAUUAAAGCUGAACUGGUGAGACGAGGGCUGCCAUCAGACAUCACUAUAGGCCUUGUGAGUUAUGUGCAACUGCAACGUGCAACCGCAGCGCUCUCUGUUGUUUCAACAUGAUCAUUUAUUGACCCCCGGAAGGAACAUUUAUUUUCACCCACAGUUAAAACUGCAAGUUCAGCUGCUUUAAUGUGACCAUAGUUAUAGUUAUUCCAAGUUUGGUGUUUGCUUGUUUUUAUCACUUAACUGUAUAAAUGUAAAAAGUUACUGGUCAUUUUUUUAAUGUUUUUGCUGCCUUUAAUUUUAUAUGCAAUGUGUACUUAUUUUAUUUGCCUGUUUUGAUUAAAGCCAACUACAAAAGCAAAUUAUUGCCAACAGAAUUAAGCUUAAAUGACUUAAAGAUGUCAACAACCAACUAAACUAACUUUAUUGACCAUCAUCUCAGUUAUUACAGUUUUUCUUGUUUGCUUGAACACAUUUGUCUUCAGCUUCUUGUAGUUACUGAGCCAUUUGUUGAUACAUUACACAAUUAUAGUAUAUGUGACAAAUAAAUGUAAGAAGGCAUAUCACAAGAUGAACUGUAUUAAUUUCUCCAAAAUGAUUAUACUAGAGAUAAUAAACCCUGCCACACUUUUUUGAGAUGCCCUGUUGAAAAACUGUAAAACAGACAUUUUCUAAUGAAGUUUUUAUUCAUUAUAUUCUUUUGUGCAGGUCUUUUAGUGCCAAAUGUGGGACCUACAGUAAGCUCCUAGAUUAUACAAAUUCAUUAUGAUACAGGUUUUGUACUGCAUUCUUUAUUUAUCAGAGAACCAAUAAAGAAUUUCACGUUCAUUAUGUUACAGCCUCUUACUCUCCUUAUGUGCCUUUGGCCUCUUUGAUUCAUGCUUGCAAAUAGCAACACAGAUUAAGGAAGUUAAUAACUAAGUACAAAUGCUUUGAGAUUGUACAUUUCAGAGCUACUUUAGUAAAGAAUCAGUUCUUCUACUUUUAUCAGUGUUUUCUUUUUACCUAAGUAUCUGUACUUCUACUUGAGUAAAAAAUGUGUGUACUUUUGCUUCUGUUUGGAUAAGAAUUGAUUGCUGAUUAAAGAGCAGUCAUUUCUAUCUGCUGUGUAUAGAUUUUGAAAAAGGGUUAGGUGUGAAAAAUGUGUUAGAAAAUGAAAAAGGCUUCUGUUGUGCUAUGAAGGCAAUGAUGAAGAUCAAGUGGAUCCCAGUUUCCUUCUUAGCAAUAAAAAAAAACUGCACUGCAAAAACAGCUCUUCUAGAAAGAAGCCAAAUAUUCUUAAAUAUUAUAAAAUGUUAUUGUAUUAAGCAAAAAAAAUUACCAAUGGGGUAAUCCAAUUUAGCUUGGCUAGAAUUCUUAAACUAGCAUAACAAUCUAGCCAUCGAAAGAUUGUAAUGGGCCUUAAAACUAGAAAGAAUUUUAAAAAUGUAAGCAAGUCGUGCUUAUAACAAGCAAUGAAUACUCAAUUAUUUAAGAAGGAAUUUGUUAAAAUAAGUAUUUUGGUCACUUUAUUGAGUUGGAUUUAAAAAUGUGUACCCUAAUCUAAGAUUAAUUAUUAGCAAAAAAAUCUUACAAUAUGAGACAAUUUCGUGAAACACUCAAAUUAAAUUGGUGACUUUGUCAAAUACAGACAAGACAAGUCGAAACUGUGCAGCCAAUGAGAGCAGCUCAAUUCGCACUCGACUCUGGUGGCUAUUAAAAGGAUAGCCCCUUGAGGUAGAGCAUCUCAUUUUUGAGGGGGUCCUCAAAAAGACACAAAUACAAAACAAAACACAUAUGAACAAAGAACAGCUUUACAUAACAAACAUUCACUGAAAAUACAAACUUUUAAGGAUUCUGGAUUUGCAAUAUAGCAGCGUUAGAAUAGAAAAUAGCAGUGUUAUCAGCAUAAAGAUGAACAGAACAAUUCAAACACUUUUGAGGUUUUUUAUAAGAAAUGUCAGAUGCACAGAAGCAAAUUCGUUGCACUCUGGUUUUUGGUGGCAGUAUUUGUUGCCAUUGAAGGGUUUUGGAUCUGUGAAACAAUGUGAUACACAGAAUAUUUUGUACUUACUGUAUGUACUGUAGGUUUAUUGUGUGUAUUAGACCUCAACAUAAAGUGUGUUAGUGAGUAAUCAAAUCACCAGGAGCCAACGAACAGCAAUGCUGAUGUUUGGCAACAAUUCAAGUCUCUCUCAAAAUAAUAAUUUCCUCAUACCAGAUCAUUUCCUGGUUUAUUGUGUUGUGUUAAUCGAAACAAUCUUCAGCCAGGUAGAAAAGGGGAGACGGAGUGGAAGAAAUGCAGUCUUUGGAAGUACGUGUUGGUAUUAAUUCACCGUCUUUAUGCUGAGAGAGUAAUACAUUCACUAUGUCGCUCUCUCUGCUUCUGCUGCUGCUGGUCUGCAGCACCCAGGCGAGUCAUUUUUAUGGGACAGUGAUGACCUACUACCCCAAAAACACUAACGCAGAUGGAUCUAUGGCGGUACGUACAGUUUCAUUCUAAUCCAAUUUAUUCACCUUUUUUAUUUUACCAGAGUUAUAACAGUAUUUCUGGGAUGUAGAAACUAAGGAAAAUGUUAUAUUUUGGAAGAAAAAAUCUAUUUUUUAGAAUAUAACAAGAAUUUAUCAUUUUCCCCUUUUUUGUGAACUUUUUGAUGAUCUUAGCUGAAUUUGUAAGAUGAUAAUAACUUAUUACAGCUUUUGGCUGUUUAGAUCAGAGUCCACUAUAACACCAAAGGGGGUUUAAUAUAGGUUAACUGUUAAAAAUAUAACAUGUACAGAUGAAGACAUCCAUUGUGGUUGGUUAUUACAUAAUGCACGUUACAUUGCAUUGUCAUCAUAAAAAGUGCAAUGUAAUAACCAACACAAAAUGUAAGUAUGCAGUUGUUAUUACAUAUGGAAGUGAGAAUAUAUUACAUUUAGUUGAGUUAUUUCAUAAGAUGUUGUUACACAUGGCAAUAAACAACCUUCAUUUAUUACGGAGGCUGUCAACACAUCUUCAUUCUAAUACUACAGGUGGUUGUUCGCUAUAAGCUGAACUUCCACGAUUGCACACAUUCUGUAUUAUGGACCUGCAGUGGGAAUUGUGGGACACAAUCGUGGGACUGCUAUGGUAACUGUUUACACGAGGUAGACAGGGAGGACAGUGUAGCCCAAUGUCGGGCAACGGAGAGUGGUGUCAAACAGAGGGAAUCAUCUCUCAACAGGUUCCCAGCAACGCUCCGCUUGAGCUGAUGUGAGUGCACCAUGACAAUCCAAAAGUUACAUUAUUUCAGACAGACAAACAUUUUCCAAAAUGUCAACAAUGACACUAAAUCUUUUGAGGCUCUGGAAGGAAACCCUUCUUAAUCGCCACCAAACAAGUAAUCAAUGGAUUUAAAUACUUAAUUUGUGGCAUCACAAACACACCUUGUAUAAAUAUCUUUAGUACACUGAGGUUCUGUGCAGCACAGUAAAAACUGACUUUCUCAUUUACUUCCACCAACAGGUUAGAUGGUGGUAACUGGUUAUUUAAUAGACAUAACAUCUAUUAUUAACUAUUGAACUUAACAAACAUACGUCAUGAAAACCGCCCAAGUACCUAAGCCUCAUUUUC